CACAACUUAAGACUGCUGUUGUGGACAAUCAGGUGUGCUUUCUUGGUCAGAAAUAGGCAAUGAGAGACUGACUUAAGUCAUAUAUAGGCCCUGACGUCCAACGGCCAUAUAUUUAUCUCAGACACCGCAGAGUGAAGUGGAUGAAAGUCUACAACUCCUCCUGGAUGGGAUCCCAGUCUAUCAAAGCCUAUUUCCGCAACCAAGGCAGUACCCAUUCAGAGCUGGGUGGACUGGGACAACGCACAUGAGCUGGUGUGAGUUGUCUAAGGACACAAACAAGUAGCCUGUGUGAUGGAGGCCAGCAGGAGUCGCUGUGCAUGUGGUAGUCAAUAGGCCUCACUCCAACAGCCAAAGGAUACUCUAGUCACUGAGGUCAGAGCCCAGGUUUUAGUCGACUGGUCAGAGCAUCUGCCUCCCGUGCAGGACAUCGCAAGUUUGCGUCCUGAGAGGAGCAAGUGGGAGGAAUCAAUCAUAACCCAACACAGAAGCAGAGAGAGGAGAGCCACCACAUCUGCAGCAGACACCUGUAAUCAAACUCUGGCCUAUAUAACGGUUAUCCACAACAGUGUUUUUAAUAUUGGUAUCAUUUCAACAUGCUUUCUGGAAAUGUAUGGUUUGGACAGUUAUCUAGAUUUUAAGCACAGACUGGGCAGGAAACCAUGCUUCUGUUUGUUGUGGGUAAUACUGGUUUGAUCGAUAGCCAGCUUCCACUUUCCUGCUUGUACAAUAUUGUAAAACAAACAAACGUGCUGUUUAUGAAUGU